GAUCUCAUGAGAUUUAUUCACUAUGCUGAAAACAGCAUGGGAAAGACCAGCCCCCAUCAUUCAAUUACCUCCCCAACAUGGGGGAAUUCUGGGAGAUUCAAUUCAAGUUGAAAUUUGGGUGGGGACACAGCCAAACCAUAUCACCUGUGGAAUCCUAGGAU